CCCUUAGAUGUUCUGGGCCGCACACGCGCUACACUGAAGGGGGCAGCGUGUACUCCUGGAUCGAAAGAUUUGGGUAACCCGCGAAUCUCCUUCGUGCUAGGGAUUGAGGUUUGCAAUUAUCCUUCAUGAACGAGGAAUUCCCAGUAAGUGCAAGUCAUAAGCUUGCGCUGACUACGUCCCUGCCCUUUGUACACACCGCCCGUCGCUCCUACCGAUUGAGCGGUCCGGUGAAUAGUUCGGACUGCGCCUCGUGCAUCUGUGCUUGGCGCGGAAAGUUCAGUAAACCUUAUCGCUUAGAGGAAGGAGAAGUCGUAACA
rnacentral:rRNA from 1 species